rnacentral:rRNA from 1 species
GGGUCCGCACAAGCGGUGGAACAUGUGGUUUAAUUCGACACUACGCGAGGAACCUUACCUGGGUUUGACAUGUAACUGCCACUGGUAGAAAUACUGGGUUUCUAUAGAAAUAUAGAACGGUUACACAGGUGCUGCAUGGCUGUCGUCAGCUCGUGUCGUGAGAUGUUGGGUUAAGUCCUUUAACGAGCGCAACCCUUGCCGUUAGUUGCCACUCUGAAAAGAGGGGACUCUAAUGGGACUGCCUAGGAAACUAGGAGGAAGGUGGGGAUGACGUCAAGUCCUCAUGGCCCUUAUACCCAGGGCUACACACGUGUUACAAUGGCGAGUACAAAGGGAUGCGAAACCGUAAGGUGGAGCAAAUCCAAUAAAGCUCGUCUAAGUUGGGAUUGAAGUCUGCAACUCGACUUCAUGAACCUGAAAUCGCUAGUAAUCGUAUAUCAGAAUGAUACGGUGAAUACGUUCCCGGACCUU